AGUAGCACGCUGUAAGCGGCGCAAUAUUUGGCUCCAAAACAGGGACACGGCGCUGCUGUCUCCAUGCGAAACGUGGGCAUUUAAGAGACGCGGUGAAAGGUCCUCAUAUUGCAGCUAUGUGUGGACGGAGCAGGACGGCCUUUCUGUGUCUGUGGGCUUACUUGCUUGUCACCAGCUGUGUAUAUGGUGC